rnacentral:rRNA from 1 species
CCUACGGGAGGCAGCAGUGGGGAAUCUUGCGCAAUGGGCGAAAGCCUGACGCAGCAACGCCGCGUGAGGGACGAAGGUUUUCUGAAUUGCAAACCUCUUUCAGCAGGGAAGAUAAUGACGGUACCUGCAGAAGAAGCACCGGCUAACUACGUGCCAGCAGCCGCGGUGAUACGUAGGGUGCAAGCGUUGUCCGGAUUUAUUGGGCGUAAAGAGCUCGUAGGCGGUUUGGUAAGUCGGUUGUGAAAUCCCCAGGCUCAACCUGGGGCCUGCAUUCGAUACUGCCAUGACUAGAGUUUGGUAGGGGACCACGGAAUUCCUGGUGUAGCGGUGGAAUGCGCAGAUAUCAGGAGGAACACCAGUAGCGAAGGCGGUGGUCUGGGCCAAUACUGACGCUGAGGAGCGAAAGCGUGGGGAGCAAACAGGAUUAGAUACCCUGGUAGUCCACGCCGUAAACGGUGGGCACUAGGUGUGGGGACUAUUCAACGGUUUCCGCGCCGACGCUAACGCAUUAAGUGCCCCGCCUGGGGAGUACGGCCGCAAGGCUAAAACUCAAAUGAAUUGACGG